ensembl:snRNA U6 U6 spliceosomal RNA
GUGCUCGCUUCAGCAGCACAUAUGCUAGAAUAGAACGAUACAGAGAAGAUUAGCAUAGCCCCUGUGCAAGCAUGACACACAAAUAUGUGAAGUGUUCCAUAUUUUA